rnacentral:lncRNA from 1 species
UACGAUUCUACUGGAUGACCAUGCUUGUUUUGCAAAACACGCAAUCUGAUCUAGAUAUGGACAUAAUAAGAUCCUAUAAGUCUUGGAGUUUCUACAAUUUAGGAUUUGAUGUGCGCCACAAGUAAUCAUAACUCCUAAAAUGGUGCAAUAUCUACUUCUAGAUAUCCUCUAGGAUUCUCCUGGCUUAGAGUGAGGAUUCUAUCCUAAAAAUGUCUCUCCCAUGGUAUAAAUUCACCCAUCUAGGGUUCAUCUCUAAAUCUAAUAACGCAAUCUGAACACUUGAAUUCUCUUGCCCACUACUUGAGUCUAAAAUCAUUCACU